CCGGAGCUUGGCUGCCCGCCAGGCCCGUGGCCUUCGCCCCGGGGCACCGGGCGGCCGCGCCUCGGGCUGCAGAGGACGCCUGGGCCCGCAGCCCGCGGCCGGCCAUGGGCGCGCGCAGCUCGCACGCCGCGGUCAUCCCCGACGCGGACGGCAUUCGGCGAGAGACCGGCUUCUCGCAGGCCAGCCUGCUCCGCCUCCACCACCGGUUCCGGGCGCUGGACGGGAACAACAAGGGCUACCUGAGCCGCACGGAUCUCCAGCAGAUUGGGGCGCUGGCCGUGAACCCCCUGGGAGACCGGAUCAUAGACAGCUUCUUCCCGGACGGGAAUCAGCGAGUGGACUUCUCGGGGUUCGUCAGAAUCCUGGCUCAUUUUCGACCUGUGGAGGAGGAGGACCCAGCAAUGCGAGACCCCAAGCAACCGGAGCCCCUCAACAGCAGAAUGAACAAACUUCGCUUUGCGUUUCAGCUCUACGACCUGGAUCGGGAUGGAAAGAUCUCCAGGCACGAGAUGUUACAGGUUCUCCGUCUGAUGGUUGGGGUCCAGGUAACUGAAGAGCAGCUGGAGAGCAUUGCAGACCGUACAGUGCAGGAGGCUGACGAAGACGGAGAUGGGGCCGUAUCCUUCUUGGAGUUCACCAAGUCCUUAGAGAAGAUGAACGUCGAGCAGAAAAUGAGCAUCAGGAUCCUGAAGUGACGCUCUUUGUGCCUUUGGCUAGGUCAUGCCAGCCAGCGUCUGCUUGGAUCAUCCUUAGCACCCAUGGAGGCAGGACCCUCUUUCACUGUAUUCUUCUAAACCAAACUCUACUUAUGGCCAAGAAGACAAAGUAGAAAGGCUCUGCCAUCCUCGGUGUCUGUUUCAUUUUGGAGCAGAAAUCCCAGUGAACAGACAGUACAGUACCUUUCUUUUCCACCACUUCUGUCAAAAGCCCCAGAACUACUGGUCUGCCGCUGAAGCCAGGUAAGGGUCACACUCUGAUUGCCCCUACCUGUCACAUGCUUUCCUGAGAACUGGAAGUUGCGGUCAAUCCUGCCUGAACCAAGUGCAAGGCAUGUGUGUGGCUUGUGCUGAUUCUCUACGCGACAUCAGAAUGUUGAUACCUGGCCAUGCUGGUCAGGCAAUAUCAACAGAUAACUGGAUACUUGUUGGUUAACAUUUUUUGCCCACAAAUGACAGAAUUACCAAUGAACAGUGGUGCAAACAAUUAGGACAAUGAUCUCACACUGUACGCUGUCUCUGACGGUCUCAGUUCUAAAGUUGUUGAGUGGGGAAUGAACCCAGGGGAUUGCACCUGUUAGGCAAUCAAAAAUACUUUUAAGGAUCUGGAUUAUUUAAUCCUCCCCUUCCUUAGUCUGUUGGCUUUGGACUCUUUAUUUCCUCAUGGUCACAAGAUGGCUUCUGAAGCUCUAGCCAUCACAUCUUUGAAGGAGCAAUAUAAAAUGCACCUAAGUGAGUGACUGAGGGCAGUUAAAGAGAAUUCCCUUCAUGUCCCUCUAUUUUGAUCUCUUCUUGUACUGGGCAUUGAAUGUAGGGGCUUUGCACUGAGCUACAUCAUCAGCCCACUUUUAAUUUUUAACUUUUGAGACAGGAUCUUGAUAAGUAACUGGGUUUGAGCUUGUAAUCCUCCUGCUUCAGCUUCCCAGAGUGCUGGGAUUGCAGGCCUGUGCCACCAGGCUACGCUUCUAUUUUGGUAAUGGAGGAAAAUCUUUUUCCUGGAUGUAUACCAAGAGGGUAUAGGUAAGGAGUAUCUGUCAUUGCUCCGGACACAAGUUGAACACCUGUAGCUGUAAGGGAGGCUGCUGUAAGGGAGGCUUGGAAAAUGAGUACCUGUGGUUUUCUUCAGUCUUUAUCAGGAGAAAUGGGCUUUCCCAACAGUGAUAAAAGGGGAGAGAAAUAGUAGCCAUGUAGUGUAUGAUUCAGAGCGGAUGUGGUCGAGAACAACCCAAAAUCUUGAGGGCUUACAACAGUGAGAGUUUACUUCUUGUCUGGGUCCCGUGGUGAUGUAUGUGGGCACCGUGGCACUGCUCCUGGGUCUUCAGGUCUCAGGGCAGCCUCACCAGGGCCGUGCCAUCCUCAUGGGAGACGGAACGAGCAGAAGAGCUGCAGGCAACACAUGCACUUCAGUUUCUGCUUGGAUCUGGUAUGAGACUUGUGUAGAGAGCAGCAGCUUCAAACAACACCACUGUUAUUGUAUCUGCUGGUUAUGGGCAUGAGAGGCUCAUUGGUGUUUUGACUGAGGUCACUGUGGUAUUCAGCUGGGCUCAGCUGGGGGGUCCAGCUUGACUGAAUUCACAUCUGGAACCCUGCUAGGUAGGAUCUCCAGCAUCGAGUUGGGGAGGUUGGAGACUUCACACCUGCAGCUCAGGCCUCCUAGAGAGAGUGGCUGAGAGACAGGAGGCAGAAGAAGCCAGACUCUGAAAGCCAGGGCCUACAGACAGAUACAAGUCCCUUCCUCCAUCCUGUAUUGGAACAAAGCAGCCGUAGAGCUCCUCUCCCAGAGGAGAGGAAUGGAGACCCCACCCCUGGAUGGGAGGACUAGGGAAGAAUCAAUCUACUGCCUGUGUGGUUAUGGCUUGGGGUGAUCUGAGUGUCUCCCAGCUCCUAAGAGCUGGGGCCUUGGGGAGUGAUGAGGUCCCCGAGAGCUCAGCCCUGGGAAGGAACGGAUGUAGUUCUCUCAGGCCCCGGCUAGUCUGUGGGAGAAGAGCAUUACACAGGAACAUGCCUGGCUCCCCUGCGGCUGCCCUGGUUUCCUGGCUGGCCCUGUGAUCUCUUCUCAUGUGCACUCUUGCCGGGAGCCACCAGCCAUGAAGCUUUUGUCUGAGCUGAGCUGAUGCCAGCACU